rnacentral:rRNA from 1 species
CUACGGGUCGCUGCAGUGGGGAAUAUUGCACAAUGGGCGCAAGCCUGAUGCAGCAACGCCGCGUGGGGGACGAAGGCCUUCGGGUUGUAAACCUCUUUUAGUAGGGAAGAAGCGCAAGUGACGGUACCUACAGAAAAAGCACCGGCUAACUACGUGCCAGCAGCCGCGGUAAUACGUAGGGUGCAAGCGUUGUCCGGAAUUAUUGGGCGUAAAGAGCUCGUAGGCGGUUUGUCGCGUCUGCUGUGAAAAUCCGAGGCUCUACCUCGGACCUGCAGUGGGUACGGGCAAACUAGAGUGCGGUAGGGGAGAUUGGAAUUCCUGGUGUAGCGGUGGAAUGCGCAGAUAUCAGGAGGAACACCAAUGGCGAAGGCAGAUCUCUGGGCCGUAACUGACGCUGAGGAGCGAAAGCGUGGGGAGCGAACAGGAUUAGAUACCCCGGUAGUC